rnacentral:lncRNA from 1 species
AUGGUUAGGAAUGCUCUCAGUAAUCUCACACUCAGGAAUGCACUUCACAGUGUGCACAUGCAGGGCAGGCCUCAGGACACAGUCACCCCUACAGGCUGUGAGGGCGUGGCCCAUCUUCAGCUGGUGACAGCACCUUUGAGGACAGGAGCAGCUCGAGGCGCUGGAGCUGGAUGUUUGAGCCGCUUUCACGUCAUCACUUCUUCUCCAGACCCGGAUCUUCUGUAUCAGGGCUGGAUCUCAGUCAGCUCAGUCAGCUCAGCACUCACACAAACUGACAUUUGCCCACUUUCAGGUCUUUCUUUGUGCUGUGAGCUGCAUUGUGCUGCAUCACUGGUGAGACCACGUGCUCUGUGUUUAUCACCAGGAAGGGGAGGGAGGCAGCGCCAGAUUUCUCGUUUUGUCCAUUGCCACCACAGACACACACACACUCUCAUCCAGGCAGCCACAGGGAGGAGGCAAACCAGGCUGAGCCGCGCCGUGUCAAACUCUGAACAACACAACAGGUUACUGUCCAGGAUGGCUGGAAAGGAGCAGCAGAUCACGGAGGAGAAGCCGCUGCUGCCUGAAAAGACAGGCGUGGACUCAGAGACGGUGGGUUUCUGCUCAUUUUCUGCCCUGCUGUGGCUUCAGACUGCAGUUACAUUUGAGCUCACCAUCACGGUUCUGCAAGGGCCACAAAUGACAAAUGCUGUCUUCAUGUCACAAGGAAACAAAGGAAUCAUUUUUAGUGAAAAUGCAGCUCAAAAAGACAAAUCUUCUUGUUAGUCAUCUUAAAACCAGAACCAAAAACCUCACUGAAAGCAGGGUUAAAGCACGGUGGUGGAAGCAUCAUGCUCUGUACAUUUUUGAGCAUUGUACGUUUUUCUACAGACUAAUUCUUCUUUCAUGUGAACACAAAUUAAGGGACUUGCUGAAACUUCUGCCUGAUCCUCAUUUUAUAUUUCUUAUUACACUAAAAAUUAUUUUCCUAAAGUCCCCUAACAGACUCACAUCUGCAGUCUGAUAGAGAUGUUCAAGUGACGUUAAAAGACUUCUUGUUAAAGAAUCCUGCCCAAAUACAGACAGAAUUGGUAAAAUAAUGAAUCAGUGAAAACUGACAUUCGUGUUUUAAGUGUCAUCAUGGAGUCGUCUUCUCUUGUGUCACGUACACACCGGGCAAAUGUUGUAGGUUCUUGAACGCAUAGGGUGUUCCAACUGGACUGUCACUACACAAUGGUAGCGCAUGUACCUACAGUUGUACCUACAUUUCUAAAUUACGCUACCAAAUCCGAGUCAGAAUCAGACGCCUUUAUUGUCAUUGUACAUAAUAAUACAACAACAUUGUAGCAGCCUUGUAGUGGUAAAUACUAUAAAUCUAGACAAAAUAUGUACAAGAACCAACAUUAAUACAAGUAUGACUUAACCGAAUAAAGUGGAGUGCAAUGAAGUGCAGCGUUAUAAAUAUGUGGGUGGAAGUAGAUGAUUGGUCAAAGUUCAACUGGUUUAACUUUCAACUCCCAUUCAGUGGCUGCUUGUUUUGUACGUAGAGCCCAAAACUGACUUAAAAACUUGCGUAGUGAUGCAUGAACGUGAGAGUUUUUAACGUGGAAGUCCAAAACAAGCAUUUAUGAGCAUUUAUAAUUCGUGGGAAGUGGUUGCUAGAAUGUGAGUUCCUGAGGCCGUUGUGAACGUAACUUUAAACUUCUGCAGCAGAUCUGCUUUGAAAUCCUUCUCUGACUGUGGGAGUUCAAUUCUAUUCAGUUUCUUUCUAAGAAUCCAGAAAAACAACAGUAAAGUAACAUCAGACAGGACUUGAUUAAUUACAAUGGUCGUGAUCGAAUUCUGUCCAGAUGAUGCCAAAAGUCCAUUUUAUCUAAAUAGUACAGAUAAUACACAACCAACAGAUUACAUUGAUGCCUUUUCAGUGUGAUCCCUGCCCUGAGCAAGGAACAGGUGACAGUGGGGAGGAAGACUCCCUCCAAUGGAGAGUUGGGAGGAACCUGUGGCAGAUCCAGGUUCAGUAGAUGAGCUUCUGCUGUUGGAGAGUAAGAAGACAGACCCAGACAUGAAAAUUACUGGAACAUCUGCUAUAAAACAAUCAGGGAGGGUUCAAAGCUGCUGCAAAAAGACGAGAGGAGGAAAUCCCAGAAACUUCAGACACAGGGCAAAUAAAAUGAGUUACUUAUUGCAACAAUGAGGGACCAGGAAGCUUGGGAUAAGUGUGUGGGGGUGUGGGUGUGAGCUGUAAAAGCUUGGUACAGCAGGAGGCAUCUCUAAGCUAAACACAGUAAUGUGUAAAGGCUGUUACGGUCCAUCAGUGGGUUAGAGGACAAGUCUGGAUGCUGACAUGAAACCUGAAAGUUCCCCAAUGAGCUGCAGCAGGUCUCCAUGGAAACCUGAUGGCGGGGAGCUAAUAUGCAGCCUGACCUGUGUUCUGGAAUCAUAACGAUGAAGGACGUACAAGUGUGUGUGUGUGUGUUUGUCCGCCCGGCUGUUGUUUCCCAAUAAACUCCUUGUUGUGCUUGUCGUUUCACAACACAGCAGGAUAAAGGAGAGGAGGCAUCAGGGGGCCCCCCCUGCCCUGCCAGCACCGAGCCCCCUAACGAACCCCCUCCCCCCCGCCGCCCCACUCACCGCUGGCAUGCCAUCGCGCGGCACUGGCUCCGCCAGACCCGCCGUCGGACCAGUGGGGUUAUCCCGGUAACUACCAGAGCAAGCAGAAACAGACACACCCAACAAAUGUGACGGUUAGAAUCCAAUGACCACAUCAGAAACCACAUUAUUUAUUUAAAAAAUCAUUUUUGAAAAUUACUUUUUAUUCAGAACCCUUUUCUUAUUCAUUUAUGAUUAUUCCCUCAAAAACAUAAAAAACAUCUGAUCUACAAGUUUAUGUGAAUAUUUUGAAAUAUAUACUUGAUUUAUUUAGCUUUUUUUCAAUAGGUAAUUUUCAUAAAACCCUCACUGGAUCAAAGAUAAACACAAAUGCAAAAUGUAACAUUCCAACAUGAACAAAUUUAUACAUUAAUUUAAGGAAUUAGAACAAAACACACACACAUACUGAAAACACACAGAAAACACAAAGACCCACAUUCAUGGAAACAAAGCACAGACACACAAAUUAAACACACACAGACACAAAAAACACAGCCACCCAUCUUUGGACCAAGAAAAAGGUCAACCCUAGAUGGGGAGGUUCCAUGCAAAGAUUGGGGAAUAGUGCCACCUGCUGGUGAAACCAAAGCACUGCCAUCAGUGACACAGCUCCCCCUGCUGACCUUUUGUUGCACACUUCACAGGAUGUCCCGCCCCCUAACGGUGGGAGUUCAGAACAGACUCAGCCAUCCUCAGACCCUGUUUCUGUGCUGUGUCUUUCAUCCAUCCAUCUGUUCUACGUUCCAUUCUGUGUGUUUAUUUUUCGUUUAAUAUCAGAGUUUCUCUUCAGAACUGAGUGUUGUUCAUGUGUGACAGGAUGUAACACCAUCUGUCUUCCUACUGUCGUUUUCUGCUCCGGCCUCAGAAAGGCAACCAGUUCAGACAAUUCUCAGAAGUGCAUUUUAAAAUAGUUUUUAAAACAUGUUGUUUUGAAUGCAUCAUUUUAUUUCACAUCCGUGUUUUUGUGGACACUAAGAAUCCUGUUUCAUUGCAGUGGCUCUUAUUUUGAAGGACAGGUUUGCAUCUUUCCGAUUAAGCUAAAAUAUUCCUAUAGUAAAGAAAAAAAUCAUUGAAUCUCAGAUCUGGCAGGAUGCCCUUUUAAAAGUAUUAAGUAUGAGACAAAUAAAGUGAAAAUUCUGUCAUUAUAAAUGUGAUUUUGUGUCAAUAUCUGCUUUUUCUUUCUUUCUUUGUGUUGAUUUUCACUCCAGCUUUUGCGUUUGUCAAUCAACGUCUAAGAGUUGCAAAACUACCAAUAACGUUAUGGUUUUAAGGAUGAUGUAAACUAAAUAAUUAGGGGCAAAAGUAACGGGUUUCAUUUCCAUAUAUAGCUUGGCUUAAAGGAUAUGAUCAGGGAAAAGGAGUUGAACCCCCCAUCUAAUAGCUGAAGAAAGGCUGAACACGAAUGUCGAGGACGCG